AUCCGUCAGUCAUUUAACAGACUGGAUGGAUACACAUCAACAAAUGUGGUGGGUGUUUCUGAGAUUACAUCAGUUUCAUUUUCCACUUGGGCCUUUUUUUAAGCGUCCACAUUUGCCACCAAGAAACACACUCAUAACUGGGGGAAAGUUAAGUGCCGUAUAUUUUUGAAUCUCUUGGAGAGGUGAAGGGCCGUUAUUUCCUGCUGGGUACUGUCCUCCUUUUCUUGCUUCACAAACAAAACCCGGAUGUGACUUGGGAACGGAAAAAAAAAAAAAAAAAGAACAAAAAGUAAAACUUCUGUUGUUUCUCCAGGAAAGUGGGCUAGCGCAACCCCAACCCUUGGGCCCCCGCCCAGGCAGGUCCCCCGCGGGCGUGGCACGACCCCCGCAGGGAGAUCAAGCAGCGCGAAGCUUUUCAGCGUCCUGGAGCCGCCUCUCAAACGUAACCCUACUCGGGCUCCCUGGGGCAAGGUUCCCGGGGUGGAGGGGACCUGAGAACGAGACCAGGGGUUUUAGGAUCCUGGGUCGCUGGGCAGGGCUGGCGUGACGGGGCGGCCCGGAGGCAGCUGAGCCCCCGGGCGCGGGGGACCACCGCGCGGGAGGCGGUCACGUCCUGCGCCGGCGGGCGGGGUGCGCAGGCACCGCAGUUAUUUCGGGACGCGCCGCGGUUCGCAGCACUUCCAGCCGCUCCACUUCCAGAGCUGUCCCAGGGCCCGGUUCUGGGGCGAAAAUGCCGGCCCUUCACAUCGAAGAUUUGCCAGAAAAGGAAAAGCUGAAGAUGGAAGUUGAGCAACUUCGCAAGGAGGUGAAGUUGCAGAGACAACAGGUAAUUCGGCUGUCCCAGAAUAUUUCCUUCUCUGAAAUCCAACAAGGUCAGCUUUUCCCGGUUUGUUACAGUAAAACAAACAGGGUUUGGGGUUUUUGUUUCUGCAGCUUCUCUUGAAGUAGGGCUUUAGUGGUACCUGGGAACUGCCAGUUGUUGUAGGGACAUCAUAGGAGGUAAAUGAGAGAGCAAGGAUCCUAUGAGUAAUUUAAACCCGAAUGUCCGAACAUCUGAGGAGCCUAGAAUGGGGGAAAUAGACAAGAACUGCUACCUGAUGGUAGAGAGUUGGCUUUAAAAGCUCAAGCUGUAGGAAAAGGCAGAUGGCUAGUUAGUUCCUUGAUCUUUUUCAUUACGGGAAAGAAUGGUAUUUGAAAGGUUUUUGUUUUGUUUUGUUUAAUCACAAUUUAAAGUCUUGAAUUACCUAAUUUUGAAUUCCACCGGGGAUCUCCAGAGCUGUGCAACGAACAGCCCAUUGGAGCUUGGGAGCAAAACAUUACAAUCUAUUUUUCUUUAUUUGUAAAUAUCAUCCCUUUAUAAUUUCCAUCCCUUUAAAAUUUCCAAAUUAUAAUUUCCAUAAUUUUCAUAUGCACCUCAGUAUGUGUAUAAGCAUUUAUUUAUAAAUAAAUACAGAUACUACUGUAUUAGUUCAUUGUGCAUACCUAUAAAACAUAACAUCUGCUGCCAAUCUCCCUCUUUUUUGCUCAGGAAGAUUGGCCCUGAGCUAACAUCUUUGCCAAUCUUACUCUAUUUUGUUUGUGGGUCCACAGCAUGGAUUGAUGAUUGGUGUAGGUGCACACCUGGGAUCAGAACCUGUGAACCCCAGCUGCUGAAGCAGAGCAUGCUGAGCUUAACCACUAUGCCACCAGGCCAGCCCCAUGGAGAGAUAUUUUUUAAGGAAAAUGAUCUAGUCCUUUCUCCAUAGCAAGAAAAAUUUAAACAAUUUCAUUUCUCUAUGGUUUAAUACUAGGAAAAAAAUUAAGAAAAACAAGGGAAAUGAAGCAGAUGUGGUAAGUAUGCUCACUUGCCUUCCUGCUCUAGUCAUGGUAAAGCUGUUCAUACCAAGAGUUUUGUCACUCAGAAUGUACAUUUAGAGUGAUGUUUGGAAGAUGCACGCUUUUUUGAGUUUUACUCUUUAUACAUUUCUUUUCUCAAAUUUAAUCCUUCACUUCCAAAUACCUACUCUUCCUAGAUUUUGGAGUGCAAAGUCCUUUUUAUUGAUGUUGAGAGUUUUUAUAGCUUUAAAAACACAGCUGUGUUUAGGGGCUGGCCCAGUGGCGUAGGGGUUAAGUUCACAUGCUCUGCUUGGGCCGCCUGGGGUUUGCGGGUUUGGAUCCUGGGCACAGACCUGGCACCACAUGUCAAGCCAUGCUGUGGUGGUGUCCCGCAUAAAAUAGAGGAAGAUUGGCACAGAUGUUAGCUCAGGGCCAAUCUUCCUCACAACAAAACAAAACAAAACAAAAAAACCCAAAACAAACAAACAAAUAUAGCUGUGUUUAAAGAAAAAAAACAAAGUUACAGGAUCUAAUAUGUAGACUUGUUUCUUGAAAUUUUAAGGGACCCAUUUUGUGAAUGGCAAAGCCCGCAGUACAGCAUGUGUUGACCACUUAGAUUUUUCACACCGUGAACCUUCGAGGUUCCAUAUUAAGCAGAGUUGUAUGCACUGAAGUAAAGCAUUGUCUGUGCAGGGUUGAAUAUCUUAAUAUCUGGUAUCACUAUGCAGAAUUUAUAGGGCAAAAAAGAGGCAAGUGUCUUCUUGUUAUUUAAAGCUUCAGAUUAGGAAUUUGUGGGGGCCUGGAUGCAGCUGCCUGUGUGGAAAUUAAAGGUGUCUUUCGUUAGCAGUUUCUCCUUGCCAGCUCCCCACUUCCACCCCUCAGGACACACCCUGCUGGAUGGACUUUCCAUCCGGAAGCUCCAGGUGUUUGCCAGAGGGAGCGAAAGCUUCUGAAAUGGCCUUAGGGGAUAAAAGGAGAGGCAUCAAUUCCUAAUAAUAAUAUUCAAACAUUUGAUUCUCCACCUUUAAUUAUAGGGUAUUAGUGCUACACAAAUAUGGCUCUUAGAGAUCAUUCAACUCUCUCACUUUUAAGGAGGAAAAACUAGAAUCCCAAGGAGGCUAACUAGCUCCUCAUUUAAGACCUCAGAGACAACGAUAGGGUAGUUACAAAAACACGCCUUCUGAUGCCCAGUCCAUUAUUCUGUCAAUAAAUUGUUCAUGUCUGAGCUGGGUGCUCUGCUCAGGCCAAGGACACAAAAUUCACAGGCUGAAUUCUGGCUCCAGCUAAGUGUUGUUCAAACAUAUCCUCUUGAUCAUGGAAGGAAAUGCAUCAAAGGAGUAAUUAUUCACUUUGAGAGGUUACAGAUCUCUUUGGAAAUCUAAUGAAGAAGCCUCUUUAAGAAUGGAUACAAUUUGGGGAAACUUGAAUCUUAUCCACAAAUUUCUCUGGGGCCACAGACCCCAGGUUGUGGAUGCUUGCAUCAUCACUGCUGAGAAUUCACUUAAAAUGCACACACCGUGAAUGCCAGCAGCAAUUGAGAGCAGAUGCUACCUGGGAGAAUGAGUGAUACCUGAGAAGAUUUUAUUUUGCCACACUUUAAGUCAUAUAACUACAUCACUUAGUUUUAAAUUUAAAUCAGUGGCCUUCACAUUGGUGUGCAAAGAGUCUUUGGGGUGUGGGAGUAAAAUAUGAAAAUUUCUAUCUUUGGUUAGUUUUAAAUCUCAUCUUUUUAUAAUUUCCAGGUUAUGUUUUAUAAUUAUGCUUGCUGUAUUAACACAGUAGCAUCAGCACUUAUUUAUAAGUAAAUAAUUAUAUACAUUUUGGGAUACAUAUACAAACAUGUUUUAGUGAUCACCAUUAAAACAGUUUGAAGAUUACUAAUCUAGAUGACAAAUUCAGUGGGAACAAUUUGCCUAGUUUUAAAAGGUUUCCAUUGGGAUUUCCUCGAGCUUCUCUAAUUUUUACUUCUAAUUUCUUACUAGUAAUGCAGGCCUUUAUUAAGACUCUAAUCCUUCUUUUUUUCCUUUCCUUUUUUUUCUCACUCUUGCAACCUGUCUCUUCAAGUUAGAUAUUUUGAAGAAACUAUUCCAUCCUUUCUCCAUUGCAAAUAAAGUUUGAAGUGAUUACGUAAACACAAGAGUCCUAGACAAGCAUGGUCACCUUAGAUAACUCUUCUAUCAGGAUCAUUGUCCUCAAGCAACGGGAAGGAAUUCUGAGCAGAGACACAGAAUGAGACUGAGCAACUCCAGCUUUUCCAGAGUCAGACUUUCUCCAAUGCUUCUGUCAUUUUGUGAAAUGCAGAACCUGGCACUCACCCAUAAUAAAUGGGAAUUUUGGCAGGACACACUCCAAAACAUUUGGGAAUUUACUACUGCACCUGCUCAUUAGCAUGGAAGAUUGAAAGCAGGGUAUGUUUUAGUUCCUAAAAUAUUGUGGACACGUCAUAAUUAAAUUUUAGCAGAGUGAGGAAGUCAUAUGAGGAACAAUCAAUCGAAAUUGCCAGAGAUGAUCUAUUUAAUACAGUGACUUUCAAACUUUUUGACUCUGACCACAGUCACAAAUAUAUUUUCCAUAGAUUGUAUCAUUCAUAUGUAUUCCAUAUGUUCUGUGAUGCUUGCUAAUAUUUUUAUGCGGUUCUACUUCAUUUUUCAAAAUGCUGGUUGUACCCAAUUAUAUUAAUUUCACUAAAGGGUGGUGACAAAGUUUUAACAAUCCUGACCUAAUUCAUUUUUUUUUCUCAAGGUGUCUAAAUGUUCUGAAGAAAUAAAGAAUUACAUUGAAGAACGUUCUGGAGAGGAUCCUCUGGUGAAAGGAAUUCCAGAAGACAAGAAUCCCUUUAAAGAAAAAGGCAGCUGCGUUAUUUCAUAAAUAACUCUGGGGAGACGCUUCAUCCUCAGUGGAAGAACUAGCUUGUUUUAGUUUGCCAGAAUGAAACCGACAUGCCUUUUAAAGAGAAAAAAAAAAAAAGAAUGAAAUUUAAAGGAGACUUUCUUCAGCACUUAUAUAGAUAUGGUUCUGUAUACAAGCUAUGUGCUUCUCAUCUUUGCUCACUACACUCCCCUUUUAAGAGGGCAGAGAGUAUCAAAUGUGCAGUUAUGGAAAGAAGGACAUUACUUGUGCAUGACUCACCUCUUUCAGUAUAUUGCUUGAUGCCUCAAAUAAAGUUUUAUCUCUGAAAAAUGAGUGUUGAUGAUUUAAGACAGCAUUUAAUUUUUUUGGCCUUAAAUUUUAUAUUUUUCCCCAUAACCUUUCUGGUAUUUGGGACAUGUAUCAAAAGAUGAGGUGGUUUGAUAGAUCAGUUCCCCAAUCCAGCUCUCUCUGCUUCAAUUCUUAGGAGGUUUACAGUGCUGAGUUCUGACUUCUGGAAUGUGUCUGAUCUAACGUUAACUAUUAGGGAAUUGAGUGAAUAGAACUGAACGCUAACAGGAAUCAGAUUAUUUGAGUCAGGAACCAGGCCAAGCCAUGCCUACAUAAGCACUUCUGUGGUUUGUCAUCAUACAGAUCUUGUUCAAACUGUUGCCGCAACAGUGGCCUUAGGAUAGGGAGAGGGUUGGGGUCAAGAGGAGCACCCGGGCGCCAGCCCUGGAAUGUUCACCCUCAGGGAGCUGCACCUCCUACAGGCUCUGCAGGUCUUGGCAUGGCCACCCUCCAGCUCUGUGUCAUUGGAACAGAGACUUGGUUCUGCGUGGCUUGGGCCAAGCACUGCUCUUUUCCUUCUCCUCCAAAGGGACAAGUUAACCUUGUACCCAUUUCUAAAAUUAGCUUGCUUUUUUCUCAUUGAUUUGCAGGAGUUUUUAAUAUAUUCUGACCAUGCAUCCUUUGUCGGUGAUAGGUGUUGGAGGUGCCUUCUCCCAGUCCAUGGCUUAACGUUCCACAGCGGGACCAUCGCUGCAGCGAUUUUAGCCCGCAGAUGCAGCACACCAGAGUACAUGGGCUGCUCAAGUCCUUCAUGAAGACACCCGUAGCCGGACCUUAAAGAAAGGGACCUUUCUUCCUCUCUUUGAGCAUUCUUCCUCCCUCUCCCUCUGUCUUUUGGAUGCAAGUUUCACCAGGUUUGAGCCAAAAACAAGACAAGGAAAACCCUUACAGGUUAGCUCCAGCUCAAGUGGGCUCAGUUACUAACUCCUCCUGCAAUUUUACAUAUGACACCAGAAACCCAGGUUUCUGCUUGACGAGGUCUUUUCUCCAGCCUAGAUGCAUAGGUGUGCUUCAUCAAGCCAGAGAGGUGCCUGUGACUCCAGCAGCUUCCUCAAGUCUAUCAGCACCUUCACUAGGAACUACUUUCCCUUCCCUCUCCAAGAAGGAACGGGAUACCCCAGGCUUUUGAAAGAGCAGGUUACGGCAAACCAAGAGCUGGGAAUAUUUCCUUCAGUUUCUUGCCUUUUUUCCAAGUGUUGAAGUCAAUUGGGAUUACUGAGAGCCCAGGGAUAAUUUUACUCCAAAGGAGGAUUUACUCCAAGAGAGGAGCAGGAUGAUCAGAGAAGGAAAGUGCUGUGGGAGCUCUCCUGUUAGGAUGAACCCUGAUCCCCUACUCUGUGCGCUGAGCUGUCCUAAUCAAGCAAGACCGGGACGUCGUCAUCAGCACCUUUCCACUUGAGCUGCAUUCACUUUGAGAGGGUGAAUCCACAGACCAUUAAAAAACAUUCACUUACGUUGGGAGAGUAGAGACGCAUUGAUGCCAAUUCUUCCUUUCUCUUUUGGUUCACACACACAUUAAAUGAUUACCUUCUCUUCUUUUUAAAAGAAAUCCCUGAUAUUAAAGAGUGCAUAAUUUCAUUGAACAUGAAAAUGAGCAGUCAAGGUGGGAUCAAAAUAGGUGAAUUAUAAAUUUCAGAAAUUGGCCCAGAAGUUAUUGUACAAAAGUUACACUUAAAAUAAAGGGGAAAAGUCCUUGUAAAAUUCAACAGUCAUGAAAAAUAAUUCAUCUUGAUAUGCAUAUAAAUAUAUGUAUGCAUUUAUUCAACAAAAAAGCGCCUGGAGCUCCCUCUGUGUACUAGGUGCUGAUUUAGGCCUAAAAUAUAUAGUGGUGAAUUAGACAAAGUCCUUAGCAUCGUGGAAUUUACAGAAAAUAUAAUUAAUCAGAUAUAUGUGGAAAUUGCACAGUAUAUUAUGAUGUAUAAGUUAGGGUAAAUAGGAAAAUGUUUUUUGUAUUUUUUAAUGAUGAUACUGAUGAUGGCAUGAUGAUGAUGAUGAUGACUUAUACAUUUGAAGUGCUUAAUAUUUAUUUGACACUGGAGUAAGCUUUUGACAUAGAGCGUAUCUUUUGAUUCUCAGAAGUACCUAUGUAUCUGGUAAAUAAUUUACACAAAGUCAUACAGCUAGUGUAACUGUCAAAGCAUACACUGUGCCUUAAACGCUAUACAAUACUACUUCUCUACUACAAGCCAACACAUAUGCACAGUGAAAAGAGCUAUUAGCUCAACAACUUUCUGAAGUGGCUUUUGGUAUAAGUAUAGCUAUUUGGUAUAGGUACAGCUACUAUAGCCUCAGAAAUUUUUAGCACUGACGUAUGACGUAGAGUUUUAUAGUAGUUCAUUUUAGUUGUUCUUACUGCUUGGUUGGUUGUUUGGUUGGUUGGUUGGUUGAUUUCCUAUAUUCACAGCCUAAUACAACAAUUUUAACCUAUAUCAAGUGGGAGAAUUUUGCUUUCAUAAUAAAAACUAUCUCACAAUUCUAAAUUAUGAUGAGUGAUAAACUCUAAUUAUAUAUCAAAUCGCUUUUGCUCAUUUGCUGAAUAAUAUAAUCUCUCAAUUUAGUACCAGAAUUUAUCUGAUAGAAGCUACAUGAAUUAUUGUAGAGUGCCUAGAAGAAAUAAACUGGACUCUGUAAGGACUUUCUUGAAAAUACCAAAAUUAUUAAAUGAUAGUCAGUCUGCAGUAGAGAAUUGCCUACAGGUACCAAAGAAUUUUCUCUGAAAUGUGAUCUAACUCUGUCUCUGUAAAAGCUUGUAUGUUUUCUUUAAUAAAUGUGGC
rnacentral:lncRNA from 1 species